rnacentral:rRNA from 1 species
UUGGAGGGCAAGUCUGGUGCCAGCAGCCGCGGUAAUUCCAGCUCCAAUAGCGUAUAUUAAAGUUGUUGCAGUUAAAAAGCUCGUAGUUGAACUUCGGGGUCUACCCAUUGGUCAGGCUUAAUUGUCUGCACUGGUGAGAUGGAUCUCUACCUUCUGAGGAACUUUCAUGCCAUUUAUUUGGUGUGGUUGGAAAUCAGGACUGUUACUUUGAAAAAAUUAGAGUGUUUAAAGCAGACUAUCGUCUGAAUACAUUAGCAUGGAAUAAUGAGAUAGGACGGACUGAUUCUAUUUCGUUGGUUUCUAGGAUCACCGUAAUGAUUAAUAGGGAUAGUUGGGGGCAUUAGUAUUCAAUUGUCAGAGGUGAAAUUCUUGGAUUUAUUGAAGACUAACUACUGCGAAAGCAUUUGCCAAGGAUGUUUUCAUUAAUCAAGAACGAAAGUUAGGGGAUCGAAGACGAUCAGAUACCGUCGUAGUCUUAACCAUAAACUAUGCCGACUAGGGAUCGGACGAAGUUAAUUUUAUAAUGACGCGUUCGGCACCUUACGGGAAACCAAAGUGUUUGGGUUC